rnacentral:sRNA from 1 species
GCUUUCAACAUCCCCGUUCCGGAUCAAGCGUUCGCCUUUCGCGGAAUAGCCGCAAGCGCAUUCGCAUCCGGAUCUGAAGGC